rnacentral:lncRNA from 1 species
ACAGCAGUUUUUAAAAAUUAUAUUUAAUACAAGUGAAUAGAUGAGAAGAUCCGAAACAUUAUAAAGCGAGAUACACAACAAAUAAAUAGUUUGCACAGGAGAGCCACGCCUCCAUUGCAUACCACUGUCUGGUACGGGAAUACUUAAAUCCAGUGACAAUGGAGAGUCCAUAAAAAUGCUAACCUGUUGUCCCUUGUAUGAAGUUCUUCAAGUAUAAAAGUCCAAUACAGUGUAAAAUAGUAUUCAAUUUAGUUUAAGAGUAAAAAUUGCAAGUAUCACACUUUCAGAAGGAAAAAAUAUAAAGCCGUCUUUUAAAACUACAUACACUACACAAGGAAAGUGGGAACAUCUGUUCCCGGCAGAUGAGAUCUGCAGGGGGAAAACAUUCGAGGAAGCACAGAACCGGCGACGUAGCUUGUUUAAAAAAAAAAAAAAAAAGAAAGAAAGAAAGAAAAGAAAAAAAAGAACAAAACAAAAAACAACUCAAGACUAAACUAAACUCAAAUUCGUUCAGGUAAGAGCACCCACCUGAACAGUGCACAUAAGAAUUUAAAUAAAUCCAAAGCCAACAUCUUUAGUUGAAUAGGUUAAUAUUUAAUAUGCUACAUCUAGACCUACUGAAUAACUUAUGCCAUGAGAUGAAUACAUAAUUUUACAGUGUCACUUCUAAAGUUCCUUCCUUUAGAGUGCAGCAUAGUAAAACUUAAAAAAUAAAUAUCUUAAAUAGGAUUAUUAUUAAGGCACAU